AUUUAGUUUAAUUAAAAUGUGGGUUUUGUAAUCCUAAGAUAACAUUUAUUUGUUGUUAACCA
rnacentral:tRNA from 1 species